GAUGAACGCUGGCGGCGUGCCUAAUACAUGCAAGUCGAGCGAACGGACGAGAAGCUUGCUUCUCUGAUGUUAGCGGCGGACGGGUGAGUAACACGUGGAUAACCUACCUAUAAGACUGGGAUAACUUCGGGAAACCGGAGCUAAUACCGGAUAAUAUUUUGAACCGCAUGGUUCAAAAGUGAAAGACGGUCUUGCUGUCACUUAUAGAUGGAUCCGCGCUGCAUUAGCUAGUUGGUAAGGUAACGGCUUACCAAGGCAACGAUGCAUAGCCGACCUGAGAGGGUGGUCGGCCACACUGGAACUGAGACACGGUCCAGACUCCUACGGGAGGCAGCAGUAGGGAAUCUUCCGCAAUGGGCGAAAGCCUGACGGAGCAACGCCGCGUGAGUGAUGAAGGUCUUCGGAUCGUAAAACUCUGUUAUUAGGGAAGAACAUAUGUGUAAGUAACUGUGCACAUCCUGACGGUACCUAAUCAGAAAGCCACGGCUAACUACGUG
rnacentral:rRNA from 1 species